rnacentral:misc_RNA from 1 species
GUGAAUCAUCAAAUUUUUGAACGCAAAUUGCGCUUCCUGGCAUCCCGGGAAGUAUGCCUGUUUGAGGGUCAGUAUUAACAAAAAAUCGGUUUGGUUGCAAAUUGUGACGUUUCCGGAGUUUGGGCUAUCUUAACUUUUUUGGUUAAGGGGCUUAAAAUUGGCCUUUUUUGCGCAUUUUUAGACGUACAUAAAUUUUUUUUAUUCGUUCUUUCUUUAUGCCCAAAUUUUAUUUGAAUCGAAUCAA